rnacentral:rRNA from 1 species
ACGAACGCUGGCGGCGUGCUUAACACAUGCAAGUCGAACGCUGAACCCGCUUCGGUGGGGGAUGAGUGGCGAACGGGUGAGUAACACGUGGGCAACCUGCCCCCGGCUCUGGGAUAACUCCAAGAAAUUGGGGCUAAUACCGGAUGUGACCGCUGGCCGCAUGGUCUGGUGGUGGAAAGGGUUUCCGGCUGGGGAUGGGCCCGCGGCCUAUCAGCUUGUUGGUGGGGUAGUGGCCUACCAAGGCGACGACGGGUAGCCGGCCUGAGAGGGUGACCGGCCACACUGGGACUGAGACACGGCCCAGACUCCUACGGGAGGCAGCAGUGGGGAAUAGUGCGCAAUGGGCGGAAGCCUGACGCAGCGACGCCGCGUGGGGGAUGACGGCCUUCGGGUUGUAAACCUCUUUCAGCAGGGACGAAGCGCAAGUGACGGUACCUGCAGAAGAAGCACCGGCCAACUACGUG